CUACGGGAGGCUGCAGUGAGGAAUAUUGCACAAUGGGGGGAACCCUGAUGCAGCAACGCCGCGUGGAGGAUGACGCAUUUCGGUGUGUAAACUCCUUUUAUAUGUCAAGAAAAUGACGGUAGUAUAUGAAUAAGCACCGGCUAACUCCGUGCCAGCAGCCGCGGUAAUACGGAGGGUGCAAGCGUUACUCGGAAUCACUGGGCGUAAAGGACGCGUAGGCGGGUUGGAAAGUCAGGUGUGAAAUCCUACAGCUUAACUGUAGAACUGCACUUGAAACUUCUAAUCUAGAGUAUGGGAGGGGGAGAUGGAAUUAGUGGUGUAGGGGUAAAAUCCGUAGAUACCACUAGGAAUACCUAAAGCGAAGGCGAUCUCCUGGAACAUUACUGACGCUAAGGCGUGAAAGCGUGGGGAGCAAACAGGAUUAGAUACCCGAGUAGUC
rnacentral:rRNA from 1 species